AAAAACGUGCACCUUCAAUUCUUUUUCCAUAUCUAGCAUUAUCUUUUCCAAUUUUAUGUUAUUAUCAAAUAAAAGAAGGCAGAGAGAUAAAGCAUGCGAUGAAGAAGAAUACAGGGUGUCGACCAAGAACAGUCGUUGCUGACAUCAAGGAAAAGCAGAGGAGGACCUUCGAAGCUAGCAAAUCGCCGGAAUACUCAAAUCAAAUCAAAUCCCUUAUUUGUUUCUCUCCUUCUCGGUCAAAGAACACAGACGACUAAAAUAGGGUGCCGCCGACGAAGAAGAAAGCUACCGUCGACAUUGUCGUGCGAUGAAGAAAAGUAAAGUCCGUCGACGAAGAACACUCAUUGCCGUCACCAUCGUCUUCGCCGGAAUCCGAAACGGAUUAUCAAGCAACCAAGACCAUUAUCAAAGACUGUGAGGUUCAAUGUGCUGAGAGUGAUUCCAGCUGGAUCUGCAAGUGCUGGGAACAAAGCAUUUACAGGCAUAUAAACGUCCAGCACUUUUGCUUGAUAAUGUAGAAGUUUUUUAGAAAAAAACGUUGUUUUAUUGAGAUUAUUAUGCUGUUUUUGACUUGUCUUUUUUUAUAAUUAUGUUAAAAAGUU